AUUGAACGCUGGCGGCAUGCCUUACACAUGCAAGUCGAACGGUAACAGGUUAAGCUGACGAGUGGCGAACGGGUGAGUAAUGUAUCGGAACGUGCCCAGUUGUGGGGGAUAACUGCUCGAAAGAGCAGCUAAUACCGCAUACGACCUGAGGGUGAAAGCGGGGGAUCGCAAGACCUCGCGCAAUUGGAGCGGCCGAUAUCAGAUUAGGUAGUUGGUGGGGUAAAGGCUCACCAAGCCGACGAUCUGUAGCUGGUCUGAGAGGACGGCCAGCCACACUGGGACUGAGACACGGCCCAGACUCCUACGGGGGGCAGCAGUGGGGAAUUUUGGACAAUGGGCGCAAGCCUGAUCCAGCCAUGCCGCGUGCGGGAAGAAGGCCUUCGGGUUGUAAACCGCUUUUGUCAGGGAAGAAACGCUCUGGGUUAAUACCCUGGGGUAAUGACGGUACCUGAAGAAUAAGCACCGGCUAACUACGUGCCAGCAGCCGCGGUAA
rnacentral:rRNA from 1 species